rnacentral:rRNA from 1 species
UACGGAGGGUGCAAACGUUGCUCGGAAUCAUUGGGCGUAAAGCGCACGUAGGCGGCCUGAUAAGUCGGGUGUGAAAGCCCUGGGCUCAACCCAGGAAGUGCACUCGAAACUGUCAGGCUUGAAUAUGGAAGAGGGUCGCGGAAUUCCCGGUGUAGAGGUGAAAUUCGUAGAUAUCGGGAGGAACACCAGUGGCGAAGGCGGCACUCUGGGACGGUACUGACGCUGAGACGCGAAAGCGUGGGGAGCAAACAGG